CUGGUUGAUCCUGCCAGUAGUCAUAUGCUUGUCUCAAAGAUUAAGCCAUGCAUGUCUAAGUAUAAGCGACUAUACUGUGAAACUGCGAAUGGCUCAUUAAAUCAGUUAUGGUUUAUUUGAUGGUACCUACUACUUGGAUAACCGUAGUAAUUCUAGAGCUAAUACAUGCAGGAAGACCCGACUCACGAAGGGUUGUAUUUAUUAGAUAAGAAACCUUCCCCUUUGGGUUGCGUGCCGAGUCACAGUAACUGCUCGAAUCGCAUGGCUUCACGCCGGCGAUGGUUCAUUCAAAUUUCUGCCCUAUCAGCUUUCGAUGGUAGGAUCGAGGCCUACCAUGGCGUUUACGGGUAACGGAGAAUUAGGGUUCGAUUCCGGAGAGGGAGCCUGAGAGAUGGCUACCACAUCCAAGGAAGGCAGCAGGCGCGUAAAUUGCCCGAAUCCUGACACAGGGAGGUAGUGACAAGAAAUAACAAUACAGGGCUACAUCUAGUCUUGUAAUUGGAAUGAGUACAAUUUACAUCUCUUCACGAGGAUCAAUUGGAGGGCAAGUCUGGU
rnacentral:rRNA from 1 species